CUCACACCAGGGCUUUAAAGGACCUGAGCCAUUUCUACACAGUGUCUGUUUCCUCAGAACACCGGUCUUCACCAAAGGCGUGGGAAAGGGCAGAGAGCACAGGACAUAUUCUGGAAUUCAGGUCACCUUUUACAUCUGCCUGGAGUUGGGUGAGCGCCUCACGAAUGACUCGGCAGGACUGACUGCCACUGCUAACCAGGCGGAUGCAAGCAAUGAGGAGGACCUGCCCAGGCCGGGUGGGUGUCUGCUCCCUCCCUCUGGUCCCUGGCACAUCUCUGGACCCCCUGCCCUGCUGUCGGAGAGAGAUGACGGGCAACGGCGUAUUCUCAGAGACAGGGCCUGCCUGCAAAUCCUUUAAAGUCAAUGGGAUGAAAUGUAUACCCAUUGUUAGAAAAAAAUAGGACUUAGCAAGUUGAGUGCAAAUAACUGAUGCAAGACUGGGAUGGAGAUGGGAGGGGUUUGGGGCAAAAGCAGAAGUCUUUCUGGGUCCGCACCAGCUGUGAAAUACCUGGCUUGUUGUUCUGUGCCUGUCUCCAGCACCCAGGCAGGGCUACCUGACCACUCUGCUCUCUCAGCCCCGCCCUGGCUCUGGAGCGAGCCUGUGGAAAGGGGGACACUUAGCCAAGGCCCCAGCCACAUAGCAGCAGCAGCUGCGCCCUCUGUCAGCUCCUUGCACCUCCUCACUGGGCCUCCUGCAAGGCACCUGCUCCACUCCACCACUAUCACCUGGGUCCUCCUGGCCUUGGCCUGGCUUGCUUACCUUGUUAUCAAGUCCUGAAUGGGGGAAGCAAUAUUCCUUCUCCACUACAAAUCACCACAGUAUUCACAAAGAAUUCCAGAGAAAUAAGAACAGAGACAUCAGACCACACUGAGCACUCAAUAAAGAGAAAAUUCUUCAAAGGUAGCUGAUUGAUGAGAGUUUCCACAUGCAGAUGGGACAGGCACUGAUUUGUGCACAAGAAGAUCAACUUGAUUGAAUCCAAAAUAAAGGAAUGUGUGUGUGCUGCAUGCACGCACACACAUAUCCCCAUGGCAAACUCUUGCUAUCCCAGGAGCGCAGACCGCAUGUGAGGAUCCUGGCUCCUUAUCUCCCCUCCCCGUAUCUCCCUUCCCUGAUUACCUUUGCGAUCUGCACACACCAGUUGAGCAGGUACUGGGAGCCAAUAUUGUCUUUGUGUUCCCGGACAUAGUCCAGGAGGCAGCCGAAGGGCAUGAGCUGCGUGAUGAGCUGCACGGUGGAGGUGAGGCAGAUGCCCAGCAGGCGGCACACGUGGGGGUUGUCCACGCUGGCCAUCACGUAGGCUUCCUGGAGGGAGGGAGAGGCACGUCAGUGUGGCUUCGCAUGGUGGCCAGAAGGAGGGGCACAUGGACCCCUUCCAGGUGAAGACGCAUGAAUGCGAUCUUGAGUUUCAAAAUACGUACUCAUGGAGGAAAAGCUGUGCCUGCAAAAGACCUAGCACAGGGACGUUUACGCAGGGCUGUGAAGUGACAGAUGCAGUGGGAGAGGGCCCCUCCUGGGUGCAUCUGGGGAUUCCCCAUGACAGAGAGGCCCAGGCAACAGUGGCCAUGAGGAGCACAUUGGAUAAAGGAGGAGUCGGAGUCACCUGAUCUCUGAGUUUGGGAACUGAUAGUAUCUUUGUUAUGAAGACCUCCGCCUCAAGGUUGAGGAUGCUGUGUUUUAAAAUAUCAUGAGGGCCUGUAGGAAUCUGUGUGGGGUCCGGAACACCCUGGGUAAUGACUGACCCUGCACAUCAGGAACGCUGGCUGUGGGUGCUGCAGAGGACAAGCGAUGGAGAAGGCAUCCGGGGAGCACCGAGCCAGCAGGGAGAAAGGCCUCCCUUCCCCACAGGCCAGGCUUGGCCCUGACUGUGCUCUGGGAAAUGGGUGGGCAUUUGGGCUGGGGACCCUGCCCACAGCACCUCUGCAAAGAGUAGCUGGAUAAGCUCUUUCAAUAGACCAGUCCCAGGUUUUGAAAUGGACAGAGCAUUCAAUCUACAGUGACUAAAGGCUGCCUGGCUGCCCGGGACCCAUUUCUAAAGAGAAGUGGUCUCUCUGUGCUGUGCCCCCAGGCUCCCUAUGGGAAAUCCAUGCUGCACUGAGUCAGGCAUCUGCUGCCCUGCUAAUUCCGGCUGGCUGCCAAGGCAGGGGCCUUCCUUUGACAGAGCCAUAAAUACAGACUUUAUUUUAACCCUUCUGCUAUUCUUGGGCUGAGGAAGCUAAAUUUAUUUGCAAUCAGGCACACAAUGGGGCCCUCUUUUCUGUCUGACUGAGAAUGAGGGAAUCCCCAAUUUCCACCCAUAAAUUCUCUUUCUCUUUAAAAUACAAAUGGUGGUGACCUUUUAUUCAGAUAUGGAAAAGAACACACAGACUGUAGCAGAAAGCAUCCACAGCUGCUUUUCACAUCUCAGCAAUGCCUAUGUUUUGAGUGUGGACUUGGGCAAGUUAGUUUCUCUGCAGAAGUGAACACACUGAGCCAGGCUCUGAGAUAGGGUGCUGCUCCAGGGUGCCCGGGCAGGUCAGGAGCAACAGGCUGGCGGGAGGCAGGGUGGAGAUAGGAGACAGGAGACAAAGGCAAGGUGGGGCGAGGGGACACAGACAGUGGACCCUCAGUAUCUGGGGAAUUGGUUCCAGGACCUCCCUUAAAUAUCAAAAUGUGAGGAUGCUCAAGCCCCUGAUAUAAAGUGGCACAGCAUUUGUGUGUAACCUACAGACAUCCUCCCAUCUACAGCAUCUCCUGAUUACCUAUAGUACCUAAUACAGUGCAAAUGCUAUGUGAAUAAUUGUUAUGCUGUAUUGUUUAGGGAAUAAUGACAAGAAAAAAAGUCCGUAUAUGUUCAGUACCGAUGCAA
ensembl:lncRNA EGFR-AS1 EGFR antisense RNA 1